ACCCGCUGAACUUAAGCAUAUCAAUAAGCGGAGGAAAAGAAACCAACAGGGAUUGCCCUAGUAACGGCGAGUGAAGCGGCAACAGCUCAAAUUUGAAAUCUGGCGUCUUUGGCGUCCGAGUUGUAAUUUGCAGAGGGCGCUUUGGCAUUGGCAGCGGUCCAAGUUCCUUGGAACGGGACGUCACAGAGGGUGAGAAUCCCGUACGUGGUCGCUAGCCUUUACCGUGUAAAGCCCCUUCGACGAGUCGAGUUGUUUGGGAAUGCAGCUCUAAAUGGGAGGUAAAUUUCUUCUAAAGCUAAAUACUGGCCAGAGACCGAUAGCGCACAAGUAGAGUGAUCGAAAGAUGAAAAGCACUUUGGAAAGAGAGUUAAAAAGCACGUGAAAUUGUUGAAAGGGAAGCGCUUGCAGCCAGACUUGCCUGUAGUUGCUCAUCCGGGUUUUUACCCGGUGCACUCUUCUAUAGGCAGGCCAGCAUCAGUUUGGGCGGUUGGAUAAAGGUCUCUGUCAUGUACCUCCUUUCGGGGAGGCCUUAUAGGGGAGACGACAUGCAACCAGCCUGGACUGAGGUCCGCGCAUCUGCUAGGAUGCUGGCGUAAUGGCUGU
rnacentral:rRNA from 1 species